AGGAUUGAAUAGGCUGAUAAUAGAUGAAGGUGCCCUGCCUCUUCUCGAAAAGCCUCAAAAAUCUGGAAUUUACAGAAAUGCCAACCGAAUUUGUUCUUAGUCUGCAACCAGAUGAAGGCCCUGAUUUUGGGAAAGUGAAGCAUAUUCCCUCUGUCACUUUCUGGUAUAGGACUCGUGGAGAACACUACACUAGGUACAAUUCAGCAUUGUUAAAGCGUCUGCGAAGUUGAUUCAUGGAGGACUGAAGUGCCCACACCACUUUCAGGAAAUUACAGAGAGCUACUGAGCUUGGAGUGAGUCACUGAUGGGUCCCGAUUUGGCAGCCAAUGCAGAGAAGUUGGAACCAAUGGAACCUCCUCAGGGCAAGCUAGAAUUCCGUUGGUGUAAACACGGGAAGGAUUCCGGAUGUGUUGUUGGCGUGCAAAGACAGUUCUUCCACCUUGCACUUUGUUUGACUGAGCUUCCUUGUGAAGUUGGUGACACAAGUAAAUGAGAGAGCUUCAAAUCUUCCAAACUAAAUUCUGCUAUCUUUAUCAUCCGAUCCAUCUGCUUUAUGUUGAUCUUUGGAGGCUUUUGCUCCACAUUUUCAUCCAUAUUAUGUAUAUUGUAACCUUGAGAAAAAUAUAAGACAUUACAAAUCAAACAAACAAUCACAAAAGCUGUUGAAUAUGAAUUUCUAUAUUAUAUUUAUAUGGCAUGUCACAAGAUGCAAUUUUCAAUAGUAUCACCUUUUUUUUUAA